rnacentral:rRNA from 1 species
GACGAACGCUCGCGGCGUGCUUAACACAUGCAAGUCGAACGAUGAUGCCCAGCUUGCUGGGUGGAAUAGUGGCGAACGGGUGAGUAACACGUGAGUAACCUGCCCCUGACUCUGGGAGAAGCGCUGGAAACGACGUCUAAUACUGGAUAUGACUACCGGCCGCAUGGUCUGGUGGUGGAAAGAUUUUGUGGUUGGGGAGGGACUCGCGGCCUAUCAGCGUGUUGGUGAGGUAAUGGCUCCCCAAGGCGACGACGGGUAGCCGGCCUGAGAGGGUGACCGGGCACACUGGGACUGAGACACGGCCCAGACUCCUACGGGAGGCAGCAGUGGGGAAUAUUGCACAAUGGGCGAAAGCCUGAUGCAGCAACGCCGCGUGAGGGAUGACGGCCUUCGGGUUGUAAACCUCUUUUAGUAGGGAAGAAGCGAGAGUGACGGUACCUGCAGAAAAAGCACCGGCUAACUACGUGCCAGCCGCCGCAGUAA